rnacentral:lncRNA from 1 species
AGUCGGGGCAAACCAUAUGAUAGGUCAUAGGAUUUAAAAAAUAUUGAAAUACAAUAUGGAUGACUAAUCCAUGGUUGACAGUUAAACUCUAGGUUUGAUCUAUAUAAUAGGCAUGAUAUGUUGCUAGACGUCAAUUUUGUCUUAUAGGUUUGAUCGAAUUAAAAGAUUUAAAUUUGAUCAUCAGUUAGAAAGGAUUUUAAUUGCUGAAAUCAGGUU